rnacentral:rRNA from 1 species
AGUGAACGCUGGCGGCAGGCCUAACACAUGCAAGUCGAACGGCAGCACAGUAAGAGCUUGCUCUUACGGGUGGCGAGUGGCGGACGGGUGAGGAAUACAUCGGAGUCUACUUUUUCGUGGGGGAUAACGUAGGGAAACUUACGCUAAUACCGCAUACGACCUACGGGUGAAAGCAGGGGAUCUUCGGACCUUGCGCGAUUGAAUGAGCCGAUGUCGGAUUAGCUAGUUGGCGGGGUAAAGGCCCACCAAGGCGACGAUCCGUAGCUGGUCUGAGAGGAUGAUCAGCCACACUGGAACUGAGACACGGUCCAGACUCCUACGGGAGGCAGCAGUGGGGAAUCUUGGACAAUGGGCGAAAGCCUGAUCCAGCCAUACCGCGUGGGUGAUGAAGGCCUUCGGGUUGUAAAGCCCUUUUGUUGGGAAAGAAAAGCAGCAGGUUAAUACCCGGCUGUUCUGACGGUACCCAAAGAAUAAGCACCGGCUAACUUCGUG